rnacentral:rRNA from 1 species
GGAAGGGCGGUAUUUAUUAGAUAACAAGCCAAUAUUCCUCUGGUCUAUUGUGGUGACUCAUAAUAACUGAUCGAAUCGCAAGGCCUAUGGCCGCGGUAAGUCAUUCAAGUUUCUGCCCCAUCAGCUUUCGAUGGUAGUGUAUUGGACUACCAUGGCGUUUACGGGUAACGGAGGAUUAGGGUUCGAUUCCGGAGAGGGAGCCUGAGAAACGGCUACCACAUCUAAGGAAGGCAGCAGGCGCGUAAAUUACCCAAUCCUGACUCAGGGAGGUAGUG